AUGGACAAAAACUCAAAUGUUGUGGACCUUCGGCGCAUGCGUCUUUUCAUUGACUACAUUGCGGAGAUGGCUCUUCGUGAGAUCGUUCACGUCGGGGCUAGGGCCCGACAACCUCCCCACGGCCCACCACUUCUCCCAACUCCUUCUUCGGCAGCGAGGGGAGUGGCCGCCCCGACCACCCGGCCUUACCAGCGCCGCCGCCCCGGCCACCGCCCCCCACCGUGUCGCCGCCCCUGCCACCGGGCACCCCACCGCACCGCCGCCCCGGUCACAGCGCGCCGUCCUUGCCUCCCCCGGCCGCCGCCACCAUUUCUGCCUCCUACAGCCGCCGCGCGCCGUCCCUGCCUCCGACGGCCGCCGCGCGCCGUCCCUGCCUCCCACGGCCGCCGAGCGCAAUCCUGGCCUUCCACGGCCGCCGCGCGCGGUCCCCGCCUCCCGCCUCCGUGCGCUAACCCCAAACCACGUGCCAUCCCGGCUGAGUGUUGCUCUCCUGUUGCUGGUGUCGAGCUCAGCGAGUGGCCACCGGUGGCGCCAUCCUCCACCCAGCUGCCUCCCUGCAGCCCUGCACGCAGCCAGCCUUGGAGACCACCCUCCAUCACGGCCGUCGUGGCCUACAAUACUGCCGGCCGCCGCGCGUCACUAUCGGCCGCGUUCCUCCACGCCUCCCCAAUCCACCGCAUGUUGCUACUGCCACUUCAGCAUCGCCCUCUGCCGCCUCAGCUCAUAGUCCGUUCAAGCUCAGUCACCAGGCCAUUCACCACCACCACCAGAGCCCGUUCAGUUGGCAACGUUCAUGCUGCUGCCAAUGUGGUUGUUGGGGCUAGUCAACUAGAAGAUCUGCAGCUCCUCAGUCCAACUUAUUGCUUAGCUUCCGUUCAACAGGGGCGCAGGGUUCAGUUCGAUGACGAUGAGCCAGGUUGCUGGCCUUUGCAUCAUGAACUGGUGCAGUUUGAUCUUGUGCGAAUUGGAAAUUUCCUGAUGCUGAUUACAGGAGAAAGUACCCUAUUCCAUUACUUUGAGAAGUACAGGUACACCUUUCUAAAAAGUACAUUGCAGACCCGGUGCUCCCCUGCACAAAUGGAGUCUGAAGCUCACCAAGCUACCUCCUCCCGCCGGUGGGGCUCUGUCACUGCAGCGCCCCGGCCGUUCACUAUUGCCAAACCAGGCCGUUCAACAAACAACGCUAAGCCGUUCGACACCGCAGCUCGGGAGGCUACCUGUUUUGCUGUCGAUCCCGUCCUCGGUGUCCACGAGCGUGAGCACCCCGUAUCCGGUGGCGAGAUGAAGGCCACCUAUGAUCCCUGCUUCCCGUCAUCACCUCCACCUCCCUUAGCCACCCUCGGCCACGAGCUCGUCCACCAUGGUUACUGGCAGUCGUCCAAGUGGAGCACAGACAUCAGUCCAAGUAGAAUCGCGGACACCAUCUUCACCAAGCGCUGCACGUUUGAAUUCUGCAUGUCAAUUCUAUGGAAGCUUGUUGGAGAUGCGGCCAGCAUGCUUUCAGUAAUAACGGCAACCACAAACAGCAUUGGCAGCCAGCACACGCACUACAUGCUCGGCUGCUGCACACUACCGCCAUGGACAACACCCGGUAGUUCUGGAAUCUGGGAGUCAAGGAAAAAAGGAUCCAAAAUGAGCAUCGGGAGGGUUAGCAGUUCAUUCACCAUUUUUUGCAGGUCCAAACGUCUCAAGCUGCUAAGGCCUACAUCUCCCUGCCAAUGUCCGAUCGCCUGUGCUGACAUGGACGUGGGAAACAUGUGUACCUUGAGAAAAGUUCACAGAAUAAAUGCUAGGAGGUUCAUUUUGUGUUUGUGUAAAUGUCUUCAAUGCUUGUGUGGAGAGCCGGAGCGCCCUGGCCGAUCACAGCCACCACCGCAGGCCGUUCAAUGCCACCUUCACAGGCGGUUCAUCGUAGCAGCAACCUGGAUCCCACUGGUUCCCACCAGCGACAUUCGUUCGAGCACGUCCUCGCUGUCCUGCAGUAGUGUGGCUCAACUAUUGCACUUGGUCGAGGUCAGAGCCUUUCGAGUUGUCAAGCCCAGCCAUGGCGUGCGUCCGCUGGACGACGACGGCUUCGUGUCCGUGCUUGCGUGUGCUCAUGUGUUGUACUGCUUCAAACAACCUUUCAUCAUAAUGUUGUGCCUGGGGAGGCAGAUGACGAGGUCGACAACGCCCAAGGCUUGGACAGUGUUCAGCAGCCUGGCGUCGUUCCCAGCGGAGGCAACCGAGCGGCCGCCAAAGCUCUUCGACGCCGCUGGCGUCGAGGACCGGCUCAGCGCACUGCCGGACGACCUCCUCAUCCACAUCCUCCUCAAGCUCCUGGACGCCCCCGUCGCCUCUCAGACCAGCGUCCUCGCCCCCGCUAGCGCCGCAUCUGGGCUCUCCUGCAAGAGCUUCACUUCCUCGCUGCCACUAACCCCGAUGGCAUACGCGCCGCCCUCGCCUCCCAUGAUGCCCUGGACCUCAGCCACCUUUCCAUUACCGCCAUCGAGGCCACCCCUGAAUCUGAAUCGAGAGAAUCCAUGGUGGCAUACUGGCGCGGGCUAG
rnacentral:rRNA from 1 species